GUUCACCUCCACCUUCUUCCUCACAUUUUCUGUCUGUCGUCAUCUAUCUCUAGUAGCGUCAUCUUCUCUAGUCAUUUUUCUCACAGGCAGUGAUUAACAACAAUGAUCCACCUCCGGAUUAUCCAGAUUCGUUCAACAUCGAUUGUCUAUUCAAUUCAGCACUGCUAGUUGAAGAUGUUACUCUCAAUCUACAAACACAAGAACCUAUUGAUGUUGCUGGAGAUUUUUUCAAUGAGGAUGAGAUCAACAAUUUCCGUCUUAAUCAACAACUGCAACAACCUCCACAACAUGUUCAAACUGAUGAUUUCCUCAAUGAGGAUGGGAUCAACAAUUUGGGUCUAAUCAACAACUACAACAACCUCCACAACAUGUUCAAACUAUUGAAAUCCCUGAAAUGACACGGAUGGCAUUUCUUCUUAAAGAAAAUUGUCCAGAAGCUGAUAUCUUCAUUAAUGCCCAAGGUCAAGAGCGUCGCUUUGGGUAAUGUUUAGCCAGCGUAACAGUCUCUACACCUCACGUGCUGGAUCUCAAAGCCUCAGCCAGAGGGACUUCAGGAAGUAUGCUGCUUCUAAAAACUAUAAAAGUGCAAGGGGAAGCAGGUUGUUGAGUCUCCACAGAAUGAUGUGGAACGUUCGAUUGCUGCGCCUAAGGAUUCACUCAAUGAUUCCCCGACUGUUAUAGACCUGCUUCACCAACUUGUUGUGUCUGUAGAUAUGAUUAAAGAUCUACUUGAAAAGAAGCUGGAUCAAUUGUAAAUUCUUCAAACCACUGCCAACUUCAUAUUUUGAUACAUUCAUUGCUUAAAAUCACAAAGCACUUUUGUGUUGUGAUAUGGAUUUGUGUAGCAGAUUGUUGUACGAACCUCUAAAUAGUUCCCUCCUUUAUAGUUUGUAGUAUAAUAAGGUUGUUCUGUCAAACGGAUAAAUAAUCACUACUUACAUAUGGUUGCAUAUUUGUAAAUAUAUAGUUUGCUUGUA